rnacentral:sRNA from 1 species
UGGUAGAUGCACCCUGAUUGAUAGUCUCGGCCCUCGGGCUGGGAUUUUUUUU